UUUCCACUUCCUUCUUGGUCCUAUUCCUGCCAGCCAGCCCUACUUCUCACUGGACUUCAGUAACAUGAUUCCCACCCCUCCUUCAGCCCUCAUCUCUGGGUAGGUGCCUCGCCAUCCUUCUGUUUGUUCCUUUCACCUGCCCACACCUCAGUACAGCAGUUCCUUCAGUAAAUCUCUUCACUCCAACCUUAGAGGUGAAUUGCUUCCUGCCAGCCUCCUGACUAACCUAGGACCCUCCACCCGGAUCUGCCCAUUUGACUCAUAAUUCAGUACAUUCCUCAGAACAAAGAACCAACCAGCCUAGCCCAUGAACAGCCCUCCCAUGUGCCUGCUCUAGGAGAAAGCAUGUGCAGUGUGGCUCCUUUGGGGCCCCCAGAGUCUGAUUCUGACUUACUGUCACUCCUAAAGAACUCCUGUGGGCAGAACCUGAUGAGAAAGGGACACCUGCACCAAAGGAACAUUGACUGGCAUGGAGAACCAAGACCACAGAAUGAAACAUGACGGAGCCUCAAGACGGAGCGUGGUCACAUCCCCACUUAGGCAAGGUGCUUCUCUCUCAGGACCUGCUUGCAAGAGGAACUUCUCACCCCCAAGGUGGCUGACAGCUAACCUGUGAACUGUUUACAACAAGAUCACCAAAGGCGCAAUACUAAUGUGUAAAAUAUGAGUAAAUGGGCUCAGAUCGAGUGCCUAAGGGACAUCUUUGGGACAUCCAGGAGCCUUUUAUGCUUA